rnacentral:lncRNA from 1 species
UCUCAUUAAAUGCUGUUAGGUUCUGCUUUCUCUCUCUAACUCAGUCCCUAUGAGCGUAAUCCCAAACCCAACCUUUUUGCUGGCUUCUGUCUCAUUACCAGGAGUGGUACGGCACGGGUCUGCCACUACCUGAGGCACUUUCUUGCUGGGGACGAUGCAUCCUCUGUGCUGCCUGUGUGGGGUCAAGCCAGCAACCCUCAUCAGGAAGUGUCCCAGGGAGCCUGCUGUCCUGCAGGUGCCACCGCAAUUAGUGACAGAAAUCUGAAUUUUCCAGCUCAUAUUCCAUGAAGAGCUUUGAUUAAAAGAAAAAGAUACAACGUGCACCACAAAGGUGGAAAAUGCUACAUAGAAGACAAAUUUGGCCUGUGGAAAACCUGAGGUUCCAGUAGUUGAUUCUAUUCCAGUUAGGUGAAAAACAUCUAAACUUUGGAUUUCUAAUACGAGAAUUAUGGGGAAAAAAAAAAAAAGUCUGAAACAUUUUAUUUUGCUUCUACUUUGUGUAUAAGAAAAAAAUAAACUUUCAGUUCAGAAGUGCCAAAACAAAAUGCUUUUUUCUUGAAACCUUUUAUAUUUUUCAGCUGAACAUUAUUUCAGUGAAAUCAGAACAUUUCAGCUUUUG